UGAACCUGGAGCUGUGUGAAUACCUGGUCUACGCUGUGCUAUUUGGCCUUUUUAACUUUUCUAUGAUAGCUUGGUGUGGAUUGCAUAGCCUUCUGUUGGAGCGACAGUGAAGGUGCUGCGUGGAAGAUGUAAACCUCUGAUCACAACUGUAAAUAACCCAAAUAUGUUAGAAAUGAAUACGAGAGAAAAGGACAGACACCCAGACGUUCACGUGCCUGAAGUGCCCAGGAGACAUCCUGAUCAGAUGCCUGAAGCAGCUUAACUUGCACUCCUAAUUCCCCCUGGAAUGAUCAAGCUCUCCACCCCACUCCAACAGAGAAGUCAGACAUCUCCAGAGGAAGUCUACGGCUGCUGGCUGCAUCCACAAUUCCAUCCCUUUAGUGCCUACCCAAAAAUCAUUAUGUCAGGAGUCUUCCUCAUCUGUUGUCUGCAUCAAUAUACCACUAGACAAAUCCAUGCACCAAUCUCUUGCUCUUCUAUCCAAAUUUUAGUUUUAGGCUACUAGAUAGCCCUGCGACAGACUGGUGAUCUGUCCAGGAUGUACUUCUUGCUCCAUUGCACCUGGGAUGGGCUCCAGCUGCAUCCCAUGACCCUGAAAUGAAUAAGUGGAAGAGAAUGGAUGAAUACGACAUUUCUCUAAGCUAAACUAAAGCGUUUUAAUGCAGCUCUCUAAAUUCUUUGAGUAGUGAAAAAAUUCUUUCACACUGUCAAGUCUUUUUUUUUUUUUUAUCAGCUGUAGGCCUUUCUUUUACUUUUUGAACUUCUGGUUUCGCAUUACGAUAGAUGCUCCUCGGGACAGUAUGGUGUAUUCUUCCUUUGUUGUACAUGCUGCCUCACUGUUGUACUGUCAUCAGCAAUAAAACUAAACUACAAACUAUAUCACAGGAAAAACAAUUAACUAAACAAAAGUAUCCAUCAAAUAGGACACUCUAGACUAAAGUAAAAGACAAUGAGGAUAUAAUGCUUUGAUUCUUCAAGCAGAAAUCAGCCUGCAGUGAAUAUGGCUGCUAAAUGGUUUCAAGAAAUAUUUACAAAGCUUCUUUUCAUCACCCAGUUUGGUGAUUUUGACAUUAGCGAUUAUGGGUACAAUAACUAAUCCCUCAUUAAUGUUGUCCUCACUGCUCUGUGUCACAAGGAUAGGAAAUCAAUGAACCUUCGCCUGAAGCAAAAACUGAGAGCUGUCCAUCUCCCACCUUUAAAUGGCACCUCCUCUCCAAACUGAAAGAUCGUUAUAGAAGUAAGAAAUUCUGGAUCUACUGGCAGUAACUUAGUCUCUAAAGGGCAACAUAAUCAUGUUUACCAGGCAGGUCCAUCUACAAGAGAACUCCUAGCGGAGGGGAUUAGGAUGACA